UACCUGCAUGUGCAUUCCAAAAUGUAUGCAGAUAUAAAGAGGCUUACUUACAUCUGGAAUGCAAGACAGAAAGUCCUAGUCACUUCCCUAAAAUGAGUCGUACUGUACAUAUAUUUACAAAAUAUUUAUUAAUUCGAAAAUAUUUAUUAAAUGUUGUAUUCUAUACUCACAGGUAUAAUUUGCUGGUUAUAAGCAGAUCUAUGCACGGCACUCCAUUAUACCACACUGAUAGCUUCUCAAAGAUUAUAAAUUUGAUACAUGUAAGCAGGUAAGAAAAAAAAUCUAAGAGAGAAAUAUUUUUUGCAGAGCCUGUGGUAUACAUUGUUUGUUAUUACGUGUAUAACAAUCAAUAACAAUUUUGUUAUUACGUGUAUAACAAUUUUGUUAUUACAUGUAUACAUGUAGCAAAACCUUAACCAUUCAGCUUAUAUUUGCUUAUCUUGCAUUUCUUUAAUGUAAAUACAUGUAUAUAAUCUUCGUUAAUUUAUAGAAUACAUGUUUUUAAUUUAAAUAAAGUGACAAAGAGAUAAUGAACUAAAUGUUAUUGAACCUACAGUACCUGACAUUUUUUAGUUUCUCUGUAUAGGCACAGUUACUUGUCAUCACAAGGAUCAGAUUUCAAGUACCAGAGUAGUCCUAACUCCCAAAUUUUCCCAAUUUGUCAAAAGUACAUCUAGUGACACAAGAGAAGAAUGUUGAGUAAAUGCCAAUAAAGGCUCGACUGCAGGGGUAUACCUGACUUCUCGGCAAUUUCUGGUUAUCACCAUCCGAAUGACCGAUUCAGAGGAGAAGACCAACUUCAAGGUGACUCUUAUGCAUUGAGAUCUUUCGCUGAUGGACUCAAAUUGUUCAGGAAAAAAUCCAGCUACCACUGUGCCACAGCCACAGAUUUCUGGCGUGUGUUCAGAAGGAACAUAGAUGCAAUGAUGAAACAAUCUCCAGACAGAUGGGUGGCCCUUGAGCAGAGAAUGUUAAAAAGAAUUGAAGCAUUCAAUAAAGAAGAUUAAGAAACAGAAUGUGUCCAGUUGUUU